rnacentral:rRNA from 1 species
GAUGAACGCUGGCGGCGUGCCUAAUACAUGCGAGUCGAGCGAACAGAUGAGGAGCUUGCUCCUCUGACGUUAGCGGCGGACGGGUGAGUAACACGUGGAUAACCUACCUAUAAGACUGGGAUAACUUCGGGAAACCGGAGCUAAUACCGGAUAAUAUAUUGAACCGCAUGGUUCAAUAGUGAAAGACGGUUUUGCUGUCACUUAUAUAUGGAUCCGCGCCGCAUUAGCUAGUUGGUAAGGUAACGGCUUACCAAGGCAACGAUGCGUAGCCGACCUGAGAGGGUGAUCGGCCACACUGGAACUGAGACACGGUCCAGAAUCCUACGGGAGGCAGCAGUAGGGAAUCUUCCGCAAUGGGCGAAAGCCUGACGGAGCAACGCCGCGUGAGUGAUGAAGGUCUUCGGAUCGUAAAACUCUGUUAUUAGGGAAGAACAAAUGUGUAAGUAACUAUGCACGUCUUGACGGUACCUAAUCAGAAAGCCACGGCUAACUACGUG